AUGUGUGCAUAUUCUAGAGCUCUUAUCAAAUUUAUUUUUUCUUAAAUAUUACCGUCAAAUCCACCUUCMCUAAUUAUUACAAACUUUAUCCGUAUAAUUUUAAUUAUUGUAACUCACCUUUACUUAAGCAUAAACUACACCUUGACCUGACAUACUUCUUUUAAGAACCUUGAAUAUUAUUUCUCAACAUUUCCUGAUGACGGCGGUAUAUAGGCCUCAGCCUAAGUUAGUUAAAAUGGGGAUUAUCAAUUAAAAGACAAGUUCCUCUGAUAAGAUAAAAUACCGCCAAAUUCUUUAAGUUUAUA
rnacentral:rRNA from 1 species